GUGCAGAUGCUUGCCUUACACGGUACAGGUGACUGUUGCUGACUGCAGCAGGUACGGAGCGGUCGCUCCCAGCCAGAGCACUGCAGUCUGUCUUUUUAAAGACAAAGGACCUUUGCUGAGGGCAGUCCCACGCUGCUGUGUGUUGCAGUGCUGCCAAUUUGAAUGGCUCCUCAGGAAAGCACUUAGCCUCAGAGGCAAGACCAAAGUGAUGCUCUGCAGUCCCACGGAUGAGCUGGAAGUGGCUGGUGAGCACCCGGUGUGUGGAAACCACAGCCCAGCACGACAGGCUCUUUUGUGGGUAGUUCAUAGCCCUUGUUGAGAACGGCAGGACUGGGACACGGAGGGGCCGUGCUCAGCCUCCUUGCGUGAGCAGAUGAUUUUCGUCUGCUCUGCUCAGCAACGUGGCAGAGAGCAGGGGCUGGGUACAGCCCUGGGCUGCCCUGUAAAGGCUCGGGGGACAUCUGAUGAGAUGCAUUAUAUUUUCCAAAUCGUUCUCGCUUCUCUGUGCUUUUACUUUCCCUCUGUAUUUGUAUCUAAUACAGCAGCAGCUGGCUGCUCUCUCGCUGUCUGACUUCCAAAGAUCUCCAGUUCUGGCCUAGCUGUGCAGAAGGAGCCCCCAAUAGCCUACACCAGUGAUUUUUUCCUGUGUGACCUCUCCUUCCCCUCCAGUCUUCAAAACCCAGAUGCUCUGGUGGAGUUUAGAUGCCCUACAGAGGUCCAAUCUAAAGAGCUGAAGUGACAGAGAAUCUGUUGCAUCCUCAGGUAAAUUGUUCCAGUGAUUAAUUAAUUACCUUAACUGUUCUGCACCAAGAACAAUUUUAUUUCUCUGUAGAAAGGCCUUUGGUUUCCAGCCACUGGAUCUCAAGAUGCCUUCUUCUGUCAGAUUAAAGAGCCUCAUCUUAUUACUCCUCUCUCUGUGUAGGCACUUGUUGACCACUCUCAAGUCACCUCUUAACCUUCCCAGGGACAGACUAAAUGGAUUGAAUGUCUCUAGUUCCCUGCUGUAAGGGAGGUUUAUCAGCCUCCCAUUCUUCUUGCUUCUGCCUGCUGAAGCCACUCCAAUUUGUUCUCGUCCUCUUUUCCAGCUGGAUACAGCAGGGGCUUGUGCAGUCUUUCAUGUCUUCUACCACUGCUAAAAAGCUUCUAGCCGUCCACUGAGCCUUGCCCUGCUCUGUGCAUCCCAGGGCUGAAUUUGUCCUCAGUUACUGCCGCAUCUGGGGUGAGGCUGAGCCCUUAGUCCCUCUCCAGUGUCCCCAUAAGAAUGGGAUGGGGAGCAUGGAGAGGCCAGUCCCAAGCUCGGGAUCAGCCUAUUGUGGCCCAAGGGGUUUUUCUGCCUCUGUUUUGGCAUCUGUCCUGGCUAUGCAAGAAGAAAAGGAAGGUCCUGAUACAGGCAGCUGUGCCGGGUGGGGAAGGAGGGACAGGGGAGCUGGGGAGCUUGGCUGUGUUUGGAGUCUGCUCACACAAGAGUUCACCAGCUCCAAGUGAGUGUAAUUGCGGAGACAAAGUAGGAGCAGCCUGAAAAUCACAGGGACAGCAUAACUUCCAGCUGAGGAGAAAAGGGCCUUUACGAGGUCUUGAACCAGUGUCCUUACGUGCGUUGUGCUGCGGUGUGAUGUGUGAGCACUCAGCCACUCCACCGCCAGUUAGAAAUGAGAAAUUUCAAGGGCUAUUGAGCACUCUGUGAAUUUUCACAGUGGCUCAGCGCAAAGUUAUUUAGCACAGGUGUUUUGGUAAUUGUGAUGCAUUGGGAAAAUUCACAGUGCUCAAUGGCCCUCAAACUUCCACCUGCUUGGUGUGGUGGUUAAGUAUUAGUGCAGUGGAUUAUAAGAUAAAAUAUGCAGGAGAGACUUGCUGGCUGCAGGACUUUUUCUGGCACUGGUUAUACUUCUUUGUUAUUCUAUGAUCGGUUUGUUUAACUGAUGUAUAUUAGGAGGACGGCAAGUAGACUUCGGUGGCUCUUAAAGUUGAGUGUUUUGCACCUAGUAAACCUGAUGGGUCCCUGUCCCCCCACAGCCCUGAGCGAGAGCGCUGUGGAGAGGAAAGGGGUCUCCAGACCGCAGCCCUGGCUGUGCUCAGCAGCUCUGGAGCUCCCGUUCUGCGGCUGCAUAGCUCCCGAAAAUGCCCAACCGUGAGCCCUGGGAAGGGGGAGAGGGAAGAAGAGGGACCUCUGCCCACACUUCUCUAAAUGUAUACAACUGUAGAGGGCCUACGAGUCCUAGGUAAGUUUUCUUUUAAUUAUCACUUUCCAAGUCACCUCUGCUCCCAUGCUGACUGUGCUAGCAGGGACCCUUUGGGGAGGACGCUCUAUCUGUCCUUUCAGGCACAAAUUAAUUGAUUAGGCAUCUUUGCAAGGAUGUGAUGUGGCCAAGUACAAAGAGUCAGAAGAAAGCUUUAAUUUUACUUUUACUUCAGCCCUGACAUUGGAACAUUGUGGCAAACACAAAUGCUGAACUGAUGACACAGGCCAUUAUUACGAAGUAAUUAAAUACAGAAAAUAUUGUUCUCCGCUGUCUCCUAAGCGGAAUUGUCAGACUGAUCCUGCAAGCUUUACGGAUUUUGCUGUGCUAUGGAUGGGCAGCUAAAGCAAAAGGACCUGCGACAAUGUGGGAUGGCUGAGCUUGUUGGCUGCUGCCAUUUGCAGAGCAAACUGAUUUUUCAUUUUUUAGGUUUUGGUGCUCAAUGGAUAUUAGCAAUGUGAUUCCCCGCCUUCCCCAGGUUUUCUCCCAGACAAACACAUGUAGCUAACUGGCUUUGUUCCACCCAGUUCUCCAUAUAUUCGCCCCAAGCCCAGUUAUCAAGGGAACGUGCCUGCACACAACCAUUGAAUCAAAGUUUUCAAAGAAGGGAGAGUUCAACAUCUGAAAGCAAAAGGCGAUAAACAAGAAUGCCCUGAAAAUCCCAGACCUGUGCCGGGAAAGGGGAAGGGUAUUUGGGUCGGCUGAGACCCCGUCGCUGUAUUCACGCAUGGAGGUGUAAGCGGAGGCACAGGUGGGACUUUGGUGAUGAAAAAACAAAACCACAACAGUCAAGGUUUGUCAUGAGCACAAUUCAGCCACCUUCAAGAGUGUCCAGAAGAUGAAAAGCCGGUGCAUGACUAGAGGGUCCUGCCACGAAAUGCAAGUAAAGUUAAUGGAUGGAUUUUAUUUUGAGCUUAUUGAAACAUUUCAGAAUUCCCAUUUCUCACAAGAUUUCAAAUGGAAGUUUCAGAUGUCUCCUCCUCACUUCACUUUGUCCUCAGUCUCCUCUAUCCCUCUCACACCAUGUUUUUUGGUGUUAUUAACAUGUAAAUUAAGCUCAUUUAUAGAAAGUAACAUCUUGACAAGUUGACAAGUGUUGCAUAUGACAAGCGUUUGGGUUGGGAGUCGUUUCUGUUUCCACAAUUGCUAUUGUUCCUAUUGGGAUGGAAACGUAGCCAUGCGCAGCAAUGGUCUGGAUGCCUAUGCUGCAUUUAGUCCCAGUUCAUUUGGAAAUACGCAGCUGGGAUACUGUGCUGGAUGUAGUCAUCAGUGUCUGUGCAGGGUCUCUCCAGGUCCUACCAAAGCCAGCAGAUGAUCUGCUUUGUUGCUGCUACUGGAAUCAGGUUUGGACCUGGGUGUUGCAUAGCAACCCUAAAUUAUUAUAAGAACCCUCAAAAGGGUAUUAAUGCUACUCAUAAAUAAAUACAGUUUGUCUCACUCCUGUUUAUGAAUGUUUUUCAUGCCGUUCCCCAGCUGAGUGAAGGCUUUCAUCUUCCCAAACAAUGAAAUUCAAGUUACUGCCAGCUGACUGGUAGCUCUCGCUCAGUGGCACAGCGGCUGUAAUUAGUCUUUUCCAGUGCAUACUUCUUGGCUUUCAUUUUAAGGAGGACUUGACUUUAACUUGUUGCUUGUUACUCACAGCUGACCAGGCUCAGUUCCCAUUUGUGAAAUGGGUUUCCCGCCAAGCGUUAGGAGAGGUCGUGUUUCAGGUGUGGGUGCUUCCUGCGUGGAUCCUCGUUCCCGGCUGGAAAGUGCUUACAGCUCAUCUGUCUUCACUUCUUCUAGGAAAAAUCAUCCCUGAAAGCCAGGAAUAUAUUUUGCCUUUUUCUCCGACUCUUUGAAAGCUGUCAGUACUAAUUUAAUUAGUUGGUGCAUAAUCACAGUUUAUCAUUUCCAAGUCUAAUAUAUUAUAAUGUUGUUUAUAUUGAUUUGAUGAUU